rnacentral:rRNA from 1 species
AGCGAACGCUGGCGGCAGGCCUAACACAUGCAAGUCGAACGGAUCCUUCGGGAUUAGUGGCGGACGGGUGAGUAACACGUGGGAACGUGCCCUUUGGUUCGGAACAACUCAGGGAAACUUGAGCUAAUACCGGAUGUGCCCUUCGGGGGAAAGAUUUAUCGCCAUUGGAGCGGCCCGCGUCUGAUUAGCCAGUUGGUGAGGUGAAGGCUCACCAAGGCGACGAUCAGUAGCUGGUCUGAGAGGAUGAUCAGCCACAUUGGGACUGAGACACGGCCCAAACUCCUACGGGAGGCAGCAGUGGGGAAUCUUGCGCAAUGGGCGAAAGCCUGACGCAGCCAUGCCGCGUGAAUGAUGAAGGUCUUAGGAUUGUAAAAUUCUUUCACCGGGGACGAUAAUGACGGUACCCGGAGAAGAAGCCCCGGCUAACUUCGUGCCAGCCGCCGCUGUAA